CCUACGGGAGGCAGCAGUGGGGAAUAUUGCACAAUGGGCGGAAGCCUGAUGCAGCGACGCCGCGUGAGGGAUGACGGCCUUCGGGUUGUAAACCUCUUUCAGCAGGGACGAAGCGCAAGUGACGGUACCUGCAGAAGAAGCGCCGGCCAACUACGUGCCAGCAGCCGCGGUAAGACGUAGGGCGCGAGCGUUGUCCGGAUUUAUUGGGCGUAAAGAGCUCGUAGGCGGCUUGUCGCGUCGACUGUGAAAUCCCGCGGCUCAACCGCGGGUCUGCAGUCGAUACGGGCAGGCUAGAGUUCGGUAGGGGAGACUGGAAUUCCUGGUGUAGCGGUGAAAUGCGCAGAUAUCAGGAGGAACACCGAUGGCGAAGGCAGGUCUCUGGGCCGAUACUGACGCUGAGGAGCGAAAGCGUGGGGAGCGAACAGGAUUAGAUACCCUGGUAGUCCACGCUGUAAACGUUGGGCGCUAGGUGUGGGGGACCUCUCCGGUUCUCUGUGCCGCNGCACGCAUAGCGCCCGCCGUCGGGAGGUACGGCCGCGACGACGUAAACGUUAAAUAGAGUUAGACGGCGUGAGACGUGACCGACGGACGACGACGAGGGAGGUUAGG
rnacentral:rRNA from 1 species